UGAAUACGAGACGCUACGGCGUCGAAGCAGUCUAUGUCAUACUUCCAAGAAAAGCUCGCAAUGUCAUAAACAAAUAAUGCCUGUACCAUAACCGACACAGGUGGGUAGGUAGAGUAUACUAAGGGGCGCGAGAUAACUCUCUCUAAGGAACUCGGCAAAAUGACUCCGUAACUUCGGGAGAAGGAGUGCCUUAUUUAUAAGGUUGCAAUAACAAGAUCCAAGCAACUGUUUAUCAAAAACACAGGUCUCCGCUAAGUCGUAAGACGAUGUAUGGGGGCUGACGCCUGCCCAGUGCCAGAAGGUUAAAGAAGUUGGUUAGCAUUCGCGAAGCUGAUAACUGAAGCCCUGGUGAACGGCGGCCGUAACAAUAACGGUCCUAAGGUAGCGAAAUUCCUUGUCGGGUAAGUUCCGACCCGCACGAAAGGCGUAAUGAUUUGGAUACUGUCUCGGAGAGGGGCUCGGUGAAAUAGACUUGUCUGUGAAGAUGCGGACUACCUGCACCUGGACAGAAAGACCCUAUGAAGCUUUACUGUAACUUGAAAUUGAAAUUGGACUUUAUUUGCGCAGCAUAGGUGGGAGGCGUUGAGAGUAUUCUUGCGGGAAUAUUGGAGCCAUCAGUGAGAUACCACUCUUGUAAUGUUAGAUUUCUAACUUUGUAUCAUUAUCUGGUCAAAGAACAGUUUCAGGCGGGCAGUUUGACUGGGGCGGUCGCCUCCCAAACGGUAACGGAGGCGUACAAAGGUUUCCUCUGAACGGGUAGAAAUCGUAUCUAGAGUGUAAAGGCAUAAGGAAGCUUGACUGUGAGACCUACAAGUCGAGCAGGGACGAAAGUCGGUCUUAGUGAUCUGACGGUGCUGAGUGGAAAGGCCGUCACUCAACGGAUAAAAGUUACUCUAAGGAUAACAGGCUGAUCUCCCCCAGGAGUUCACAUCGACGGGGAGGUUUGGCACCUCGAUGUCGGCUCAUCGCAUCCUGGGGCGGUAGUACGUCCCAAGGGUUGGGCUGUUCGCCCAUGAAAGCGGUACGCGAGCUGGGUUCAGAACGUCGUGAGACAGUUCGGUCCAUAUCCGGUGUAGGCGUUAGAAUAUUGAGAGGAGCCUUCUUUAGUACGAGAGGACCGAGAAGGACAUACCUCUGGUGUACCAGUUAUCGUGCCAACGGUAAACGCUGGGUAGCUAUGUAUGGAGAGGAUAACCGCUGAAAGCAUCUAAGUGGGAAGCCCACCUCAAGAUAAGUAUUCUCA
rnacentral:rRNA from 1 species